UGGGAGUUAGCUAAGUCAGUAAAGUGCUUGCCUGGCAAGCAAGAGGACCCAGGUUUGAUCCCCAG
rnacentral:tRNA from 1 species